rnacentral:rRNA from 1 species
CACGUAGGGGGCGAGCGUUGUCCGGAUUCAUUGGGCGUAAAGCGCGCGCAGGCGGCUCGGAAAGUCGGGUGUGAAAACCUGGGGCUCAACCCCGGGCGUGCAUCCGAUACUGCCGGGCUUGAGGCAGGUAGGGGAGAUCGGAAUUCCUGGUGUGAGCGGUGAAAUGCGCAGAUAUCAGGAGGAACACCGGUGGCGAAGGCGGAUCUCUGGGCCUGUCCUGACGCUGAGGCGCGAAAGCUAGGGGAGCGAACAGG